GCUUCAUCAUCAGUCAUGUUCUCUGCAGCUCUGAUUCUGCUGCUGACCGCUGGAUCCUGUGUGCACUGUAUUGAUCUCAUCACACCAGGCUCAAUGGUCGUGCAGCCUGGACAGUCUCUGACCCUCACCUGUCAGGUCUCUGGUUACUCUCUGACUGAUAACAGCUAUGCAACAGGUUGGAUCAGACAGCCUGCAGGGAAAGGACUGGAGUGGAUUGGAAUAAGAUACACUGGAGGCACUUACUACAAAGAUUCACUGAAGAACCAGUUCAGUAUCGACUUAGACGCCUCUAACAACAGGGUGACCCUAAACGGACUGAAUAUGCAGCCUGCAGACACUGCAGUGUAUUACUGUGCCAGAGAGCCACAGUGA